GGAGGUUUAAAGAAAGGAAUGGGAAAGGAAUUAAUAGAUUAAUCGGGAUGGAAGAAGGAGACAUUGGAAGAUGACGCUCAAUCAGAGCUGAGUAAGGAGGUAAGCGUUUAUAGCGAGCUAGUCGUCAACAUCCAGAUAUCCUAAUCGAUAAUUUAAGGCAAAACCGCCGCUGGGAAUAACAGGAGUCGGAUAACCACCGUUUUAAAAUACGAAACCUGGUUAAUGGUCCAGAAGGCGCUGACUAUCGGCUCUCCGAAAAAUGUGACUUUUAAUAUUCAGCUUAUAGCGAAUCUAGUAUUAUUCAAGUAAUAAACAUCAGUGAUCAUACAUAACAUCUAAUUUGAAUCCGUACACAGCACAGUUCGUCUACUUUCGUAACGAAUAUUCACGAAUCAACGUCACGAAUGUUCGACGAAGGAUCUGCGGUCGUCGAGUAUGAGAUCGGGGGAAUUUGACGAGAGGAUGGAGAUAGCACUCACCUGUUUUUCAACGGUCGGUGGGCGGCCGUGUCCAUCCUACGGGCGAACGACGAGUUUAAGGACCCGGUUGACGGUCGUUUGCGGUAAGGAAGAAAAUUCACGGUCGGCACGAUUUCGUCCCUUUCCCCGGGUAGCCAUUUUGCCGGCCCACCACCGCCACGAUCGAUCGACGGGUGGAUAGGCGGCUGUCUAGUGGCGCCCCGUCGCUCGCUUCAACCCGCAGAAACCGGCAUUUUUUCCCCAACAGCAGUCCUUUGUUUCCCUAACGGCAACUAAGAGAAUUUCUCCUAUGGGAAUAGCAUAUGCAGUACUUAAUCCUUUCCUCCCGUUAUGCGACAUUUUCAACAACCCACUCGUCGAUUUAUCAAUCUAAAUGCUAAAUAUAUUCUAAUUAAUGCAAAAAAGCUUAAAAUGAAGG
rnacentral:lncRNA from 1 species